UACGGAGGUGGCAAGCGUUGCUCGGAAUCACUGGGCGUAAAGGGCGCGUAGGCGGGGAGGUAAGUCGGGUGUGAAAUCCCUCGGCCCAACUGAGGAACUGCGCCCGAGACUGCUUCUCUUGAGUCCCGGAGAGGAAGAUGGAAUUCCCGGUGUAGCGGUGAAAUGAGUAGAGAUCGGGAGGAACACCGGUGGCGAAGGCGGUCUUCUGGACGGUGACUGACGCUGAGGCGCGAAAGCGUGGGGAGCAAACGGG
rnacentral:rRNA from 1 species